rnacentral:lncRNA from 1 species
GGAAAAACCGCAGAGCUAAGGUGCUAGAGGGACCAUAGACUGCGCUGCAGAAGCCAGGCGCACUCUAUAGCCAGGGGACUGAACUAGAGAAGAUCUGGGCAUUGCCCACCAGUGCAGGACUGGAUGUCCAGCUUGUUAAUCAAAGACCUUGGACCUAAGCUUAAGCUUCAGCAUCGUGGAUCUCGAGCGCGGGAAGGACAGUGAACUGCAAGCUACCACGACCUCUCUCUCCUCCCACCUGCGACCCAGGGAAGAAAGCUCAGAGCCCUCAGCUCCAGGCUUGGAGCUUUCUUGACACCGAAUUCUAGAUGCACCAGGAAGAGCCCUGGCAAGGAGCGGGCUGCGCAGGUAGGGACAAGGGUGGUGUCCCAGUGCAGCCCGAUCAAGUAAUCCCAAGGGAGCCUGCCUGCCACAGUGGAGCGGUGUGGGCUGCUUUCCCGGUGAGGGGAUGAAGAGACCCUUCCCUUGAGUCAGAUGUCGUCAUUUGCUGGGCGAAUUCCGUGCCCCACAAGGGCCACCCUUAUCUGACAAACCCCUAUAGGCUACUGGGGACUUAGGGAAAAGAGAUGGAGGCAGAAUCCUUUGGUAGUAGGGAGUACCAGGUUCAGGGAAAGGGAGCAGAAGACUGCCCCGAACCUAGGCAUCCAGUGUAAGGAGAGGCGUCAUUGCUCUAAGGAUGAUUUUAAACCGCGCAGAGACGCAGCAUAUGGUUUCCAGGUUUGGCGGCACAACACAGAAGACUUUGAGCCGAAGGGGCCUCCAGACACGGAAACUAAAUAAUCCCGAUUUAGAGAGGCCCGAGUAGCAGGAGGCUGGAUUUUUGGUUAAGCUACAAUUAAGAGAAGAUAAUUAAGCCCGGAGCCGUGCAGCUUAUUAAUAUUUAUAGCUCUCGGAGUGAGAGGGCCUUUGCCACGCAGGAGAGGAACCCGAGCCUUUCAGGCCAGGGGCUUCGCAAUGACUGGGAAUGAGAAAGGGCGAAAUGGGGUGAAUCUGUCUCUGCGCUUCUCCCUUAAUUACCGGAGCAGGAAAGUCAGUCGGGAGAGAAGGUGGUCGAAUGACUCUGUCUCAGGGGCUGCGAAGAGAGAUGGCUAUCUCCAGUCCGGAUCCCAUCUCUUCCUUCAGGACCCCAACCGUGCCUUUAAGUGUCCCUGACUCCCAGGAUUGAGGGCUAGUAAAGGAAACGAUUUUGUAACGAAGAUUCCGGGAGAAUUUUCUUUUCCUCCCAGCCUUAACGUCACGCCGCAGGGGACACGGUGAUUAAGUGCUGUCCUGGCUGAGGGAUGGCCCUGCAAGCCCACACACUGGCCUCGAACUUGCUCAUGUACGGUUUGUGGGAUUCCGGGAGGCAGAUCCUGCCCGCCCCGCACGGCCCCCCGCAGGAUCCCGGAGGGCCGCUGCGGGUCAGGCCUUUGAUUCCCGUACCGCUGCGGUGGCAGGCGGAGGGGCUUCACCCGUACUCCGACCUUCCCCGCGGUCUGCUGCCUGCGAGACACCGUGCCACCCACCACUGAGGAUGAAGUAGGGAGCUUCAGCAAUUUGCACUAAACGUAAUUUCUGCUGCUCUUGAGCCCGGAUGGAUGGAGGUGGGUGGAGGAGGGGCGGAUGCCCUGAGCCUUUGCUCUCCACCCCCCUCGCCUCCCCUUGCUAGCCUCCAGCGGCCUCCGCAGUAGCAGCCUCGGUGUCUGGUGCAGAUCGAUUCUCCGUAAUAAACGCGGGGUUCCGCGGGGGGCGCCACUGCGGUUCCCAUGGCAACCUUUGCUUCACUGCAGUCCAGGAUUCUUGGUCACCCGUGCUAAAUAAUCUGAGGAUGGAGCUGUUUGCGGUGACCGCUGUAGCGGCCAGCCUCUUCCUACUCCUGCUUUUCCUGGUCUUCAUCUCGAUCUACGUUGGCUCUAAUCCUGGCCCACAACCUCUGUCCCAAAACUGUUAAUUGAAGAAGAAAGGGGGUGGCGAUUUGUCCUUGUCGCGAGGCGUGGUUCCGAUGGAGCUGCGUACUGCAAAAGAUUCUCCCAAGGAAGACGCAUCUCUACCCAGGCCAGAUGUGGAGACACCAGACAUUCUUGGAGAGAUGUGCCCAGCUCAUCCAAGCAGCUGCAAGGGCUGAUUAGCAUUGAGACCAGCGAAGGACAAGGAAGGAUUCCUGUGUGUCCCUGUGUGUCAAGGGAAAGAUCAACGGGAUUUAAGUAUGAUGAUUGUGGGUUAUAGCAUAAAGGCUUGCUUAACAAAGAGAUGUCGAUGGCAUAAGUGAGUUAUUUUUACACAUCUGUAUACACACACCAGAAAAGGAAAUGUUUUGGUAGGCACAAGUGAAUUUUCUCUCUAUAAAAAACGUGCAGUUCACGGAUGGUGGAUUUUAAGCACGUGUUGGUGAUGUUAAUUUACAGUAAUGAUUAUUCUGUUCUGAAAAUGAAACCAUACCAUCUCUUUUUUUACCAUACCACACCUUUUAACAUUAGCCUGGAUACAUAAUAGCGUAGCUCUAGCGACCAUCUCAGCUGUUGUAUCAAAGGAAAGUGAUCCUGGUAGAGGAGUAUUUAUUCUGCAACAAUGCCAAAUAAAAUUUGAAAACAAAAAAAAAAAA